CUCCUCGGGAUGUCCCAGCCUGGAGCAGGCAGCAGCAGGACCAGCAGCAGCUCUGCCUUGGCCCAGGGCUGGUUGUGCCCCUGAAGGGGCACCAGGACAUUCACUUGGCUACAGAUGCACGGGCACAUCCCCCAGACUGCCUGACCCCAGUCAGCUCCUGCAAGGACUGAGAAAUGGGUUUAUUUGCUGGCAAACAAAUGUCACCUUCUGGGAAGCAGAGGAGCCCGUGAAGGCUCCCCUGAGAAAACGAAAGCGACUGACUCAGAGUUUCAGGGAGAGGAGGGUAAACACACAGCCAGACAGAAGAGGAAAUUGGUGCACCAAAAAAUCCCUGGUUUAAUUACCCCAGGUGCUAUUUUUAGUAACACAAGGACAGGAGAACAGACAA